GGGGGUAUAGCUCAGUAGGGAGAGCAAUAGCUUUGCAAGCUAUAGGUCGUGGGUUCGAUUCCCUCUGCCUCCACCA
rnacentral:tRNA from 1 species